rnacentral:rRNA from 1 species
GUGCUCUUCACCGAGUGUCGAGGUGGGCCGGCACGUUUACUUUGAACAAAUUAGAGUGCUUCAAGCAGGCCCUGUACCGCCUGAAUACACCUUGCAUGGAAUAAUGGAAGAGGACCUCGGUUCUGUUUUGUUGGUUUUUCGGAACACGAGGUAAUGAUUAACAGGGACUGGCGGGGGCAUUCGUAUUGCGACGUUAGAGGUGAAAUUCUUGGAUCGUCGCAAGACGGACCGAAGCGAAAGCAUUUGCCAAGGAUGUCUUCCUUAAUCAAGAACGAAAGUUAGAGGUUCGAAGGCGAUCAGAUACCGCCCUAGUUCUAACCAUAAACGAUGCCAGCUUGCGAUCCGUAGCCGUACCUACGUGACUCGACGGGCAGCCCCCGGAAACUGAAGCUUUCGGGUUCCGGGGGAAGUAUGGUUGCAAAGCUGAAACUUAAAGGAAUUGACGGAAG